rnacentral:rRNA from 1 species
GUAGGUGGCAAGCGUUGUCCGGAAUUAUUGGGCGUAAAGCGCGCGCAGGCGGUCCUUUAAGUCUGAUGUGAAAGCCCACGGGCUCAACCGUGGAGGGUCAUUGGAAACUGGGGGACUUGAGUACAGAAGAGGAAAGCGGAAUUCCAAGUGUAGCGGUGAAAUGCGUAGAGAUUUGGAGGAACACCAGUGGCGAAGGCGGCCUUCUGGUCUGUAACUGACGCUGAGGCGCGAAAGCGUGGGGAGCAAACAGGAUUAGAUACCCUGGUAGUCCACGCCGUAAACGAUGAGUGCUAAGUGUUAGGGGGUUUCCGCCCCUUAGUGCUGCAGCUAACGCAUUAAGCACUCCGCCUGGGGAGUACGGCCGCAAAGGCUGA